CCGGAUGUGUUCUGGACCACGCUGGCCGACGUCUCGUCGCUCGAACAGUGCGUGCUGCAGUGCGCCAAACGCUUCAUCUGCGUCGGAGCGGACGGCUGUUCGUGUGGCUCCCUGCGCAGCGACCGCUCCGAGGUCCGUGUGCGGGAGUGGGUGAAAACCAGGCACAAGCAGGAGAUGGGCUCCAACCAGGGUUACCUCAUGCUGGACAAGAAAGGAAACGCCAACGUGCCCGAGGGGUGGACGUGCACCACGGAGCCGACCCAGUGGCGGCAGGCUCGGGACUCCACCCUCCAGGGCUGCCUCCAG